rnacentral:misc_RNA from 1 species
UAAUAAGUGUUUUAUGGCACUUUUUAAAUCCAUAUCCACCUUGUGUGCAAUGUCAGUCGAUCUCCUUCAUGGAGAUCGACCAAACAUCAACCUUUAUCUUUUAACUCUUUGUCUGGAAAAAAAUAAUUAUGAAUAAACAAUUCAAAAUA